UGAGAGGCUGGGCUGUCCUGAAUGGCAUGGCCUAGAACAGUGGUUCUCAGCCUGUAGGUGGCCACCUCUUUGGGGUUGCAUAUCAGCAGCCUCUCAGAGCCCACCAGGAAGCUUGCCCCAGGCCCAGCUCCCAAGCGUGGCAACUAAGUCAGCUGGAGAACAGUCCACACCUUUAUGAGACCAGCUGCAUAGGAAACACUUCCCAGGCAACUUCAUCUUCCUUCCCCCCUCGCCGAGACAAAUGUCUGAAAACAUUUCCAGGACUCCUGUCUAUCUCUGGAUCUCUCCCUCUCGACAUUCAGGGAGACAUAUUUAUGAGGAAAGCAAAACAGAUGAUCUGGCUGCACUGCUGAAGGAGGGCUGCAUCUGUCUCCAAGCACCGCAAGCCACUUAGCCACGAUAAAUCUUCUCGGCCAGAGAUAUCAGCAUGCCAGGAUUCUAAGCCUGCUCCCCAAAGAGCUCCUUCCCCUGCUUCUCAUGGGUAUUCAGCAGGCCCCCAGCAUCCCACAACCUCUGCCUUCUGCUUCGGUUCCUCCUGGCCUCACCCGCCUACUAUAGCUCUUGCCACAGGGUAUCAACGUACCCACAGACCCUUCCAAUUGGGGAGGUCAGGUUCCUUCUCCUCAAGCGUUAUUCUCCCCAUCUUUUUCAGAUCUUCCCUGUCAUACACUCUGCUCCCCCUCUUAAGGACUCUGACCUCCCCUCAGGAAUGGAAGAACAAAUGGUGGGAUUUAAAAUGAGUUCUACUCAACUGCCUUCCUUAAUGGGGCAUUACGUAAACAUCCCUGGGAACCAGCUGAGACCCUGAUAUGGUCCAUACCCACUCUUUAAGAGGCAGCACCGAGGCCUGCUUGCUUAUUAAGUCAUCCAAAGUGUUACCCUCCAGCUGAAGAGCCAGGGGAGGCAGAAAAUAUUGUUAAAUGAGACAGCCCAAGAGUCACCUGCAGGCUUUCUAGCAGGAGGAAGGGGUGCGGCCGGGAGAAGGGAGGUUACUGAUACAAAGUCAAACUCAAGUUACCUUCAUGGGAUUCAUCCUUCUAGGCUGUUUAAGAAGACAGCAAAGCCUUCCCUUCCAACAAGUUAAGAGGACAAAUGGAAACUCUGUCUUCUUGGUU